rnacentral:lncRNA from 1 species
CUGCAUAUGGUUUCACAAUGAAAACCUUCUGCUGAAGAUAAACCUUGUAGCAUAGACCAUAAUAUGUUCAAUAUAAAUGUAAAAUCAUUGAUUUUCACAUUUUAAACAUAAUGUAGAUUUAUCCUAAUAAAAUAUGCUAAUAAAUCCAGAGAGGCGCGAUUGUAUAACCCGUUAAAUUUGGUAGCAACAUGUAUUGAAGUUAAUAUUGCCUUGGGAUAAUCUACAAGAAUGACAAUUAAAUAUGGUUAAUACAAUAUAUGUGAAAGAAACGAUAUGUUAAUGUAAUGGAAGUAAAUUAUAUAGCAACUCUAUAUGAUAGGUUAAUGUAUAAAAGGAAAAAUUAUCAAGUUA